rnacentral:lncRNA from 1 species
CCGGAAAGGUCCUGGCUGACUGGAGACCUGCUAAUGUGAUGCCCAUCUAUAAGAAGGGUUGUAAGGAGGAUCUGGUGAACUACAGGCCUGUCAGCCUGACCUUGGUGCCAGGAAAGGUGAUGGAACAGGUCAUCUUGAAUGCAACCAAACAGCAUAUGUGGGACAACCUAGGGACCAGGCCCAGUCAGCAUAGGUUCAUGAAAGGCAAGUCCUCCUGCCUGACCAACCUCAUCUCCUUUUAUGACCGGGUGACCCACCCGGUGGACGAGGGAAAGACUGUUGAUGUAGUCUACCCAGACUUCAGUAAAGCCAGCUGGGCCCACAGAGUGGUGGUGAAUGGAGUGAAAUCCAGGUGGCAACCAGUCACCAGUGGUGUUCCCCAGGGGUUGGUGUUGGGGUCCAUCCUCUUUAAUAUCUUUAUUGAUGAUUUGGAUGACGGAAUUCAGUGUACCUUCAGUAACUCUGCAGAUGACACCAAGCAGGGGAAAAGUGUUGACCUUCCAGAGGGUAGGAAGGCUCUGCAGAGGGACCGGGGCAGGUUGGAUCAAUGGGCAGAGGCCAGUGGGAUGAGGUUCAACAUGACUAAGUGCCAAGUCCUGCACUUUGGUCACAACAACCCCAUGCAACGCUAUGGGCUUGGGGAAGAGUGGCUGGAAAGCUGUGCAAAGGAAAAGGAUCUGGGGGUGUUUUUUGGUGCUCGCCUGAACAUGAGCCAUCAGUGUGUCCAGGUGGUCAAGAAGGCCAAUGGCAUCCUGGCUUGUAUCAGGAAUAUUGUAUCCAGCAGGACCAAGAAGGUGUUAGUCCCCCUGUACUCUGCUCUAGUGAGGCUGCACCUUGAGUACUGCAUUCAGUUUUGGGCCCCACACUACAAGAAGGACAUUGAGGCCCUGGAGCGUGUUCAGAGAAGGGCUACGAAGUUGGUGAAGGCUCUGGAGCACAAGUCCUGUGAAGAGUGGCUGAGGGAACUGGGGGUGUUUAGUCUGGAGAAGAGGAGACUCAGGGGAGACCUCAUUGCUCUCUACAACUACCUGAAAGGAAGGUGUGGGGAGCUGGAGGUCAGCGUCUUCUAGCAGAUAACUGGUGAUGGAACUAGAGGGAAUGGCCUCAAGUUGCGCCAGGGGAGGUUCAGGUUAGAAAUUAGGAGGCAUUUCUCCUCAGAAAGAGUAGUCAGGCAUUGGAACAGGUUCCCCAGGGAGGUGGUGGAAUCACCAUCCCUUGGUGUGUUUAAGGAAAGGUUGGAUGUGAUAAUUAGGGACAUGGUUUAGUGGGUAACAUUGGCAGUAUGGGGAUGGUUGGACCUGAUGACCUUGGAGGUCUUUUCUAACCUUAUUGAUUCUAUGAUUCUCAUCAACCAAUACCCC